AUGCCCUCCAACGCCGGUGACGCCCGCCGCGGCGCCCAGCUGGGAAGCGGUGAUGCCGCGGAUCUCGUGCGCGCUCCCCUUCCCCGUAUCGGGCGCUGCGAGGCCGGCUUCGACGCGGCCGCGCGCGAGGAGAAGGCCGCUGCCGACCAGGUCGAGCCCGAGCGUACCUCGAUUGGCCGCGCGAGGCCGAAGGACGUCGACGAUGCAGAGGGCUCUGCACGCCGGACAAUCACGGGACACGGCAAAAUUCUCCCACUGCAGCCGUCAUCGGAUGGAUGCGUGGAGGUGGAGGUUCCGAUCAACAAGAGGAAAUCCGAUUUGGUGGAAGGAAUCCAUGUUAGCGAUGGUGAAACUGUCGUCGCAGCCCCACCGGCCAAGAUCUUGAGGAUUAGCCACAAGACGAAAGUGGCCACAGGAGGCAGCAGCGGUCCUCGUCGUGGUCGUGGUGGUGGACACGGACGCGGUCGCGGACGCGGACGAAGCUCUGCAGGUGAGUCAGCGCAGAAUUCUUCGUCCUCACGAGGCAACAGGUGCUGGCUGAUUGCGCCCUCUCCUCCGGUGCCUAACAGGCGCCUGUUUACAGCGCCACCUCCUUCUCCAGUGGGUGACGACGGCCAUCUCCAGGUUGAAACUAGUUCGGAAGAUGAAAGCAGUGAUGGAAGUUUGGAACCGGACGAAGUAGACGUCACAGCAUUGUAUCUGCUCGCUAGUGUUUCUGAGAUGGUCGCUAACGAUACUGAUGGUGAUACAAGAAAUAAUGCUGUUCUUCCUGCGAGGAGAACUAGGAAGGACGUCAACAUCCAUGAUGAAGGGACUUCACAAGAAGGUGGAGCUAGAAACUGCACAGGAGGAGCUUCCUGGGGAGCCCGAUAA
rnacentral:rRNA from 1 species